UCUCUUUCUUUUCAUCUAAAAAAAAGCUCAGAGUAUUUAUGGAAACAAGGAGAGAGAAAGCUAGAGAGAGAAAAUAUGUCUUCCUUCAACAACAAUGGCGAUGAGCUCAAAACCACCUAUCAUCCCUUCGACGAUGGUUAUGGGAGCUUGUGGAAGAUGAUAUUUGAUGUCGUUUUCUCCGAUCUUCAGGAUUCGUGGUGGAGGUGGUAUUCCGAAUCUCUCUCACACUCACUCUCUAAAUUUACCAUUGGAGCAGUUUUUGAGUUUAGUUUUUUUCUUUGAAUUAGCUGAUCAAUUACCACUCCUCUCUUGUGAAUUCGAUUCCUCCAGUUUCGGCCCGCCGUCUCCGAGGUUCCCGUUCAGUCUGAGAUUGUGUUUCAAUUUCCUCCAUUAUAGCAGCUUCUUGAGAUAAGAUCUCUAUCCUUUUUAUAAUCAUCUAAUAUCAAUUUUGACAAUCUUUUAACAGUAAUCCUUUUUUGUGCUACGUUUCUUCAUUAAGCUUCUUAAUUAAUUUUCUCAAAUUCGAUUAAUAACUCGAACUAUUUUUAAAUGAAUGAGUGGUGAUGAAACCUAAGAAAGGGAAAAAGAGGAGAGAAACUGCGAUGAACGGCGCUGGAAAUAAUGGUGGUUGGGAAGUUUCUGCCAUCAAUUUGAUGAAACUCAGAAAUUUGUAAGUGUCAGGGCUGCUGGAGCAAAUGCGGAGCUUAUACGAGGAAAGAGCCUUUGAUAAUAUUGUCAUAUCACCUGGCCCUGGUCUGCAAUCUGGGCUGCUAAUAUAGGUGAGAGUCGUGAGACUCUUCUGCUCAACAUGCUUUCAAUAGAAGUUAUGAAAGUCACUUUAAUUUUUUACUUAUUCAUAUGUUUGAACUGUGCUUGUUUCCAAGAUUUAUUGAGCCGAUUUAUAAAAUUUAGUAAUGAUAUGUUUGUCCAAAAUUAAUUAAUGCUGCAAUCUUAUAUAGUUAUUGCUUAACCCUGAUGUUAUUGCUUAAUCCUUAGUGUCUGCUAGAACUAAGAUCUUAUACAACACAUCUGAUAUGCUCCUCUCCUUUUGAAUUCAAUCAAGAUGAAACCCACUCAAAAAAGGUUGGUGACCUGCAGCUACUGUUGUAAUGUAGUUGAGAAUUGACUUUGAAAUAAACUUCUCUUACUUAGCUGAUGACUUUAUGAGAAGUAUAUUCUAUUAAGCUUUUGAUUGCUCUCUUCUCUUAUUUUAUAUCGUUUUCUCUAUCUGUUGACGGCUCUGAAUAUCCUCUUGUUGAUUUCAUGUCUAUCUUUAUUUCGUUAUUUUACAACAGCUUUGGUGAAUAAGUUUCAUAUGUAUUUGUAUUUCAUCAUUUGAAAACGGCUUUGGUGACUGGUUUGCCUUAAUGAAAAGCAAAGAAAGAGAGAUAAUCAGGAUAUUUGGAUUUGCAAGCAAGUUGUUUCAGCAGAAAAAGCUAUAAUGGUUUAAUUUAUGACGCUAUUAUCCUGUUUUAUGUUUUUGAAUUCCUUGAACCUAGGAACCCUGUAGAUUUUGUGAAAAUACUCUAUAUUUUUAUUUUCAAUAAACAUAAAACCUUCUUUUCCAAUAUAAUUACCGGUGGUGGUGUGGUUUAUUUAUUUAUUUAUAUCAUAUCUUAUCACCAACGACCAUGGGUUAUCUUUUUCAUUUACCAGUCUACACAAUCAAGAAAAAUUGUCUUAAUUGAGGAGUUGAAGUUUAUGGAUUAUAUUAUUGCGCUUGUCUAUUAUUUAUUAUAUUGGUAAGUAUAUCCUUUAUAACUGCAGUCAUUUGAUGUAGUCUUCAAUUAGGGAUGGAAUCUCACAGUCAUACGAACUCACCC